UUCACCGAGGAAGGGGAUGGGAAAGGUGGCCUCUGGAUCAAGCUACCGCCCCGGGAUGGGUUCGCGUCCCAUUAGCUUGUUGGUGGGGUCAAGGCCCACCAAGGCGACGAUGGGUAGCCGGCCUGAGAGGGUGAUCGGCCACACUGGGACUGGAACACGGCCCAGACUCCUACGGGAGGCAGCAGUGGGGAAUCUUGGGCAAUGGGCGCAAGCCUGACCCAGCGACGCCGCGUGUGGGAAGAAGGCCCUCGGGUCGUAAACCACUGUCAGGAGGGAAGAAAAGCAGAUCCCCAACAGGGGUCUGUAUUGACGGUACCUCCAGAGGAAGCACCGGCCAACUCCGUGCCAGCAGCCGCGGUAAUACGGAGGGUGCAAGCGUUAUUCGGAAUCACUGGGCGUAAAGCGCGCGUAGGCGGCAGCGCAAGUCAGAUGUGAAAGCCCUCGGCUAAACCGGGGAAUUGCAUCUGAAACUGCGUAGCUAGAGUUCGGGAGAGGGCGGCGGAACUCCCGGUGUAGGGGUGAAAUCCGUAGAUAUCGGGAGGAACACCAGAGGCGAAGGCGGCCGCCUGG
rnacentral:rRNA from 1 species